rnacentral:lncRNA from 1 species
GGCAAAGUUAAUACUCUAAAACUUUUAACAAUUUGAUAAAUAACAAUAUAUGCCAAAGAUAAAUCCAAAUAAAUAAAAUGAUGCACUAUUGAAAGUAAAUGUCACUGUUCUUAUGAAUAGUCCGAUAGUAGAAUCACUAGCUGGAAUUGUCUGAAAUAUGAAUUUGCAGAAUAACUGAUUUUAAGGUUGAGAAUGUCUUUUAUCACUUAUUGAAAUGUUCUGAGUAAGUUGGUUGAUUUGAAUUGCCCAAAGUUGUUUAGAAUCACUUAGUUGAAACAAUAUCUUGAGUUGAAGGUCUUGAGCCGUUAGUCUGUCCCAUGUUGUCUGGUUAAGGUGUACAAUGAAUCCAGUUGAUUGGUAGCCAAUCUUGUUAUAACUGAAAAUUGAUUGCAUAGCCAAGACUAGAUACCGACGCUACUCUGUAGAUUCACUCCAAACUCCUUCCACACUGUUGUUAACUGUAACUGCACUAGAUGUUGUAUAAUUAAGUUUGAGUUAAAAUUACUAUGAAAAAGAGAUACUCAAAGACAUUUGUCAUGUGACAUAUAUCCAAAUGUUUCUAAUUAGCCGUAUGUGAUUUAAUUAAAGUACAAUUGAAAUUAAAAAACUGAAAAAUAAACUUAAGGACACCUACAGGAGUUUCCCGCUACAUUGAAGACCCAUUGGUGGCCUUCGGCUGUUGUCUGCUCUAUGGUUGGGUUGUUGUCGCUUUGACACAUUCCCCAUUUCCUUUCUCAAUUUUAUUAAUCCCUUAAUAAAGCAAUAAUAAACAAAUAAUUCUAAAAUUAUCUAACAUACAGAAAAAUAGAUAUGAAAAACUGAAAAAUUCUAAAAAAUAUGAUUAAUACACUGAGAGGGAAAAUACACCCAUGAUGUAUCACUAGUUCCCAAUUGCAGAUAAUGUCAAGAAAUGUAUUUAAUUGUAUAUAUAUAUAGUUUUGAGUUCAAAAGGUUUUAUUUUCAUUAUAUUAGAAUAUUUGAAAAACAAUCCAGUUUUUAUUUUAUUAUACAUUGGUGCUAUAUACGG